AACACUUCUCGGCCUUUUGGCUAAGAUUAAGUGUAGUGUCUGUUCUUAUCAGCUUAAUAUUUGAUACAUCCUCUAUCUGAGGACAAUGUAGGAAGUGGUUUUUUGGAAGUAGGAGUUGGAACCUAUUCCAACUUGCCAGCUCCGCCCACUCCAUGCAUCAACCUGCUAUUGCAGUACCACCAAAAAUGGUGCACUCCCU